GCAUAAUCAUUAGUCUUUUCAUUGAAGGCUGGAAUGAAUGGCGGGACGAGGUAUUUGCUGUCUCUUUUGUAAUUGAGUUUAAUUUAAUUUUUCAGUCAAAAAGCUAAAAUAUUAUUGGAGGACGAGAAGACCCUAUAGAGCUUGAUACGAGAUGUGUGAUUUUAAUUUAAGGUUUAAGAUUAGGGGGAUCGUAUUUAGUUGGGGUGACUGAAAGAUAAAAAUAACUCUUUUUGUUUAUUAACACCGAUGAGUGUUUGAUUGAUCCGUUUUUUGCGAUUAAAAGAUUAAGUUACCUUAGGGAUAACAGCGUAAUUUCGUUCGAGAGUUCUAAUCGACAACGGAGUUUGCGACCUCGAUGUUGGACUAAGAUAAAUUUUGGGUGUAGCAGUUCAAAUUUUAGGUCUGUUCGACCUUUAAACUCUUACAU
rnacentral:rRNA from 1 species